rnacentral:lncRNA from 1 species
CUUUAAUGAUCUCCUUACAGUUAGAAAACAGUCCAUUUUCCCCAUAAUCGGUAGUCGUUUCAUUAGCAUCUAAAUUAUAAUUCCUUAAUUAUAAGCCUAUCACCUAUUCUGCUUUCCAAAAAUUAAUCCAGAAGCUGUCAAAUACAAACUUAUGUUUAAUAAAAUGAACAUCUGUGAUCACACACCAGGAGCAAAAUCCUAAUUGUUCUAAACCCGGCACUUUGCUUUGACAACCAAGUACCUUUUUUUUAAAUACUUUAUUUCUUUAAAACACCUGCUUUCUUUACAUACUGACUUUUAAAGGAAGAGAUUAAAUUUUAUUGGCAGGAACAGAAGUUAGUCUCUAAAAUAGCAAAGGAAGAACUAUGCUUUAUAGAAAAGUUGCCUGCUACAUUAAAAAUAAACCAGAAUAUGAAUCAAAAUCCACAAAUCCAACAGGGGCCAAUCCCCAAUUUUCCCACAAAGAGAGCCGACAGUCUGAUAACCUCAGCUCUUUGGAAUUAGGCUGUUGGUGGCGGCUGCAGUCCUUGUUCCGAUGGUAGCCGCACCACCCCAGCCCAGGAUGGCUGUAUUUCCAUUAGAAUUGGCUGUCCUGCCCUCUCUGCCUUCGCCACCCCCCUUCGCCCAAGUCCGGUUAUUCAGUGAGUUAUAAUUUGGCACUAAAACUCAAUUAAGCUGAAACGUUGGUCAUACGUGGUGUUUUUCCCAGCAAAGCAUAAUUUCUUUGACCCAUUUUCCAAAUGUCAGUAGAUCGAUUUUAAAGCACAGAGAGGUAAAAGUUUGUUUAAAAAUCCAGCUCGCAUUUCUAGAAACUGGCUGGAAUUUUUUUUUUUUAAUUUCAAAUAAACAGUCAGGAUGUGGUGUUACUAUAUUAAAGCGCUUCAAGUUUUCAUAGCGCUCGUCAAACAGAGACCUCGGAACGCUCUGCAGACAUUAAUUAAUGUUCGCUCCGGCCCUGGAAGCCAUUUCACCAAUGGAAAUUCCGAUGAGAAAGGAAGAAACGAGGGGUUCAAGGCCGCGCCGUUGUGAGUCCGCUGCGGAACUAGGAACUGAAACCCCGUGGUUCCCAAUGAGCCAGCGAAAGUCUGUCGAAGUAUUGAGCACCCCUAUUGAAGACUGUGGGAGUUUUGGCGGCUUAAUGGGAUUGUGUUCGGUCCUUCAGGCUCUCCUUUAAAAGAUUCCAUGGCACCAACGAGACUCCAAUAAAAGGGCCUCUCUAAUUGCUUUCUGACUUUCUAUGAAACUUUCUAAGCUAUGCUGACAUCCUCGAAUACAACUAUGGAAUUAAAGAGGAGAGAAAGGCGAGGCACAGUGGGUGCGCAAAGAAAAAGAGGUUCUCAGCGGAGCGUGUGUGAGGCGGGGGGUUACGGGGGAGGGGAGACGGGGCGGGUGUGAAGUCUGUGCCGGGAAAAGAAAAAUAUGAGUGUUCUCUUUUGUGUGCGCACAAACAGCCGAGCGCGGGGAGGUCGGGCCCGGGGUCACGCGGCUCCGGGCUGCAGCUGCCGCCGUGGGGCGGGGGGUCCCAGGCGGCCACCGGGCGUCGCGGCCGCCUGCGGCAUCAGCAUUCCGGCGGCGCGGGCGGCCGCUGUCCUCGCGCGACCCCAGCCCGUCCAGAGCGCGCCCCGGCACCGACCCUCGGGGCGAGGCGAGCGCAGCCCCCGCUGGCCAACAAGCGUUGCCCAAAGUAGAAGCCCAUUCCCAGGAUGGAUGAAUCUGUGGUAAGAGAUAAACACAAGAAACAAAUGCCCAGGGGAGGAGGAGAAGCAGAUUGCCUGGGGCAGGUAAGAGGGCUACACCUGGAAAUGCAUCUGCUGGGGUUCUCACCCACACCAGAAUCUCUGGUCAGAGCAGCUCUCUUUGAAGAAUGCCAGACAAACAGAAACCUGGCCACACCCCCACCAGAGUUACCUGAUUGAAACACGAAUCUGAUCACUGAAAGCCUUCCUGCAUCCGUCUGCUGCACGCAGGAGGCAGCUCGGCCUCCUUCCCCAGUGGCCUCCCAGCCCUACCUCUAGAAUUUCCUGGCCCCUGCCCUCCUGCCACCCUGAUAUCUCUUACUCCCUAAGACACUUGUCCUUGUCGCCGACACGGGCCCAGCGGUGAGAGAGGCGCUCUCUGCCCAUUGCCCGUGAACACACUGCGUUCAGGGCUUCUCAGAGCAGGCCAGCCUGGUGGAGCUGCUUUGGGGCCUAGCUCUGGGGGUCUCAGGAGUACCCCAGCCUGCAGAUAAGGAACCCUAUGCAAUGUAUAAGGAAAGGAAAGCAUGGCCCAUGUGAGCACAGCAUUAGGGCCUUGGAACUCCGUGUUUAGCACCCCCCAUGCUGCAGCCAAACAUUGACACCCCAAGUUCUAGGACCCCAUGAGAUGGUGCCUUGCCUAGCCAGCUGCGUUGAUGUGUGGGAAGGGGCAUGUUGCGGAAAUCCUCCAGCAGGUCCUGGCUCCUGUCCUGUGCCCAGCACUGGCGUUCUUGUUCAGAGAACAAAGGCCCGGAGGCCCCUGCAGAACCAAGAAAGCCUGAAAGCCGUGGCUUUCAAAG